UACGUAGGGUGCAAGCGUUACUCGGAAUCACUGGGCGUAAAGCGCGUGUAGGUGGCUUCAUAAGUCUGGUGUGAAAGCCCGGGGCUCAACCCCGGAAGUGCAUUGGAUACUGUGAAGCUGGAGUAUGGGAGAGGAGAGUGGAAUUCCAGGUGUAGAGGUGAAAUUCGUAGAUAUCUGGAAGAACACCAGUGGCGAAGGCGGCUCUCUGGACCAUUACUGACACUGAGACACGAAAGCGUGGGGAGCAAACAGG
rnacentral:rRNA from 1 species